AACCUAAAACUGAUUUCACCUCGGUUACUGACCAUAUCAACCGACACUGAGGACGCGAAACCAAAACUAAUAACGAUACAGCGGUGCAACACUAACUUGCGGAAGCGCUUUUGUUGUGUCCACAUGUACUCUGUCGCGGUGCUUACGGAUGAUCAGUGUUAGUUAUUUACACGUCAAAAUGAAAAUAUUUGAUAAUUCUCGUGUUUUUUGGCUUUGUAGCUACUUUCUAUAUCACUCCACAACGGAAGCUAUUCGGGUUGUAGAUGGACCGGUAUCCGUCACGGAAGGAGACAGCGCUAAUUUACACUGCGAACUGAUAGAGACUGAUGAUGCUCUGGAGCAGGUAUCCUGGCAGAAAAGGACGCGAGAGAUUCCCGAGAAUAUCAACUUCUUGGUCAUCAUACCCCCCGAAGAUCUUUUGGACGUAUCGCUGCAAGAUGAGGGGGUGUAUACCUGUAUCUUCACGGUGUUCCCAAGCGGGCCGCACCAGACGGAAAUUAGGCUUAAUGUUCGAGGUAAGUUUGGAAGAAAUACAAAAGCCCCC